GAUGAACGCUAGCGGCAGGCUUAACACAUGCAAGUCGAGGGGUAGGGUUAGCUUGCUAAUCUGAGACCGGCGCACGGGUGCGUAACGCGUAUGCAAUCUACCUUUCACAGAGGGAUAGCCCAGAGAAAUUUGGAUUAAUACCUCAUAGUAAUACGCCUUGGCACCAAGAUGUAUUUAAAGAUUUAUCGGUGAAAGAUGAGCAUGCGUCCCAUUAGCUAGUUGGUAUGGUAACGGCAUACCAAGGCAACGAUGGGUAGGGGUCCUGAGAGGGAGAUCCCCCACACUGGUACUGAGACACGGACCAGACUCCUACGGGAGGCAGCAGUGAGGAAUAUUGGACAAUGGGCGCAAGCCUGAUCCAGCCAUGCCGCGUGCAGGAUGACGGUCCUAUGGAUUGUAAACUGCUUUUAUACAGGAAGAAACACUCCCUCGUGAGGGAGCUUGACGGUACUGUAAGAAUAAGGAUCGGCUAACUCCGUGCCAGCAGCCGCGGUAAUACGGAGGAUCCAAGCGUUAUCCGGAAUCAUUGGGUUUAAAGGGUCCGUAGGCGGUCAGAUAAGUCAGUGGUGAAAGCCCAUCGCUCAACGGUGGAACGGCCAUUGAUACUGUCUGACUUGAAUUAUUAGGAAGUAACUAGAAUAUGUAGUGUAGCGGUGAAAUGCUUAGAGAUUACAUGGAAUACCAAUUGCGAAGGCAGGUUACUACUAAUAUAUUGACGCUGAUGGACGAAAGCGUGGGUAGCGAACAGGAUUAGAUACCCUGGUAGUCCGCGCCGUAAACGAUGGAUACUAGCUGUUGGGCGCAAGUUCAGUGGCUAAGCGAAAGUGAUAAGUAUCCCACCUGGGGAGUACGAACGCAAGUUUGAAACUCAAAGGAAUUGACGGGGGCCCGCACAAGCGGUGGAGCAUGUGGUUUAAUUCGAUGAUACGCGAGGAACCUUGCCAAGGCUUAAAUGUAGUUUGACCGUUUGGAAACAGAACU
rnacentral:rRNA from 1 species